UCGCUUCGGCAGCACAUAUACUAAAAUUGGAAGGAUACAGAGAAGCUUAGCAUGGCCCCUGCACAAGGAUGACACGCAAAUUCGUGCAACUUGGCCCUAAACU
rnacentral:snRNA from 1 species